rnacentral:rRNA from 1 species
UACAGAGGUCCCAAGCGUUGUUCGGAUUCACUGGGCGUAAAGGGUGCGUAGGUGGUGAGGUAAGUCGGAUGUGAAAGCUCGGAGCUCAACUCCGAAAUGGCAUUGGAAACUACCUUGCUCGAGGGUUGGAGGGGGGACUGGAAUGCUUGGUGUAGCAGUGAAAUGCGUAGAUAUCAGGAGGAACACCUGUGGCGAAAGCGGCGCACUGGACCACAACUGACGCUGAGGCGCGAAAGCUAGGGGAGCAAACAGG